GGAUGAGAUUGCGUCUGCAUCCAGAAAAGUUGGAACUCUGGCAUUAAAGUCACCAGACCAAAGCACUUUCUCUUCUCCUAGAUUCUCUGUACCAAAAAUGCAAAGUGAUAUUGGGACCAGCUCAAUUCAGAAUGANNNCAAGAAAAGUUGGAAGUCAAGCAACAAAGUCACCUUCCCAAAGUGUUCAUUCUUCUCCCCGGUUUGCUGUUCCAUUCACAAAAAGUGGUACUGGGACCACAUCACUGCAAAAUGAUAUAAAUUCUACAUCAACUAA
rnacentral:misc_RNA from 1 species